UCUGAGGUAAAUGUGACGGUACGUGACAUUGUUUACAAGCUGUUAUGUUGACAUCUUUGCAUGGUUAAAACACUGAUUGAUCGAUUACAUGAGACGGGAUACAGAUUUUGAGAGCAGCCCGUGGAGCCGUCUGAGAUGUUUUAUAAGGUUUUCCACACAGAUGUGACGACCUCAAAAUUUAUUAUGGAUUUUUAACGUCCUGCAGCUGUGACAGCUGCUUCGUGGCGACGAUUUAUCCUGUAAAUUAAGAUGAACUGUUAUUUAUUCUUUAUAUUCAGAUAAUAAAAUAUCAGUGAAAACCACAACAAACGGCACCUCGAGCUUUUGUUUCCUAAGUCUUUGUUUCUUUUCAAGACGCCUGUGAAGAAACUUCAAA
rnacentral:lncRNA from 1 species